UAAAAGUCGUAACAAGGUUUCCGUAGGUGAACCUGCGGAAGGAUCAUUAUCGAGUUUUGACUGGGUUGUAGCUGGCCUUCCGAGGCAUGUGCACGCCCUGCUCAUCCACUCUACACCUGUGCACUUACUGUGGGCUUCAGAUCGUAAAACGGGUCCCUUUACCGGGCUUGCGGAGCGUGUCUGUGCCUGCGUUUAUCACAAACUCUAUAAAGUAUCAGAAUGUGUAUUGCGAUGUAACGCAUCUAUAUACAACUUUCAGCAACGGAUCUCUUGGCUCUCGCAUCGAUGAAGAACGCAGCGAAAUGCGAUAAGUAAUGUGAAUUGCAGAAUUCAGUGAAUCAUCGAAUCUUUGAACGCACCUUGCGCUCCUUGGUAUUCCGAGGAGCAUGCCUGUUUGAGUGUCAUGAAAUCUUCAACCUGCAAGCUUUUGUGGUUUGUAGGCUUGGACUUGGAGGCUUGUCGGCCGUUCUCGGUCGGCUCCUCUUAAAUGCAUUAGCUUGGUUCCUUGCGGAUCGGCUCUCAGUGUGAUAAUGUCUACGCUGCGACCGUGAAGCGUUUGGCGAGCUUCUAACCGUCUCAGUUGGAGACAACUUUAUGACCUCUGACCUCAAAUCAGGUAGGACUACCCGCUGAACUUA
rnacentral:rRNA from 1 species